rnacentral:rRNA from 1 species
UGCGAGUCGAGCGGAUGAGGGAGCUUGCUCCUGGAUUCAGCGGCGGACGGGUGAGUAAUGCCUAGGAAUCUGCCUGGUAGUGGGGGAUAACGUCCGGAAACGGGCGCUAAUACCGCAUACGUCCUGAGGGGGAAAGUGGGGGAUCUUCGGACCUCACGCUAUCAGAUGAGCCUAGGUCGGAUUAGCUAGUUGGUGGGGUAAAGGCCUACCAAGGCGACGAUCCGUAACUGGUCUGAGAGGAUGAUCAGUCACACUGGAACUGAGACACGGUCCAGACUCCUACGGGAGGCAGCAGUGGGGAAUAUUGGACAAUGGGCGAAAGCCUGAUCCAGCCAUGCCGCGUGUGUGAAGAAGGUCUUCGGAUUGUAAAGCACUUUAAGUUGGGAGGAAGGGCAGUAAGUUAAUACCUUGCUGUUUUGACGUUACCAACAGAAUAAGCACCGGCUAACUUCGUGCCAGCAGCCGCGGUAAUACGAAGGGUGCAAGCGUUAAUCGGAAUUACUGGGCGUAAAGCGCGCGUAGGUGGUUCAGCAAGUUGGAUGUGAAAUCCCCGGGCUCAACCUGGGAACUGCAUCCAAACUACUGAGCUAGAGUACGGUAGAGGGUGGUGGAUUUCCUGUGUAGC